AUUGAACGCUGUCGGCAGGCCUAACACAUGCAAGUCGAGCGAGCGGCGGACGGGUGAGUAAUGUAUGGGGAUCUGCCCGAUAGAGGGGUAUAACUACUGGAAACGGUGGCUAAUACCGCAUACUCUCGUAUCAACCCAUAUGGGAUUAGGUAGUUGGUGAGGUAAAGGCUCACCACCCGACGAUCUCUAGCUGGUCUGAGAGGAUGACCAGCCACACUGGGACUGAGACACGGCCCAGACUCCUACGGGAGGCAGCAGUGGGGAAUAUUGCGCAAUGGGGGCAACCCUGACGCAGCCAUGCCGCGUGAAUGAAGAAGGCCUUCGGGUUGUAAAGUUCUUUCGGUAGCGAGGCGUUAACUACAGAAGAAGCACCGGCUAACUCCGUGCCAGCAGCCGCGGUAAUAC
rnacentral:rRNA from 1 species